AGUGAACGCUGGCGGUAGGCCUAACACAUGCAAGUCGAACGGCAGCACAGUAAGAGCUUGCUCUUACGGGUGGCGAGUGGCGGACGGGUGAGGAAUACAUUGGAAUCUACUUUUUCGUGGGGGAUAACGUAGGGAAACUUACGCUAAUACCGCAUACGACCUACGGGUGAAAGCAGGGGAUCUUCGGACCUUGCGCGAUUGAAUGAGCCGAUGUCGGAUUAGCUAGUUGGCGGGGUAAAGGCCCACCAAGGCGACGAUCCGUAGCUGGUCUGAGAGGAUGAUCAGCCACACUGGAACUGAGACACGGUCCAGACUCCUACGGGAGGCAGCAGUGGGGAAUAUUGGACAAUGGGCGCAAGCCUGAUCCGGCCAUACCGCGUGGGUGAAGAAGGCCUUCGGGUUGUAAAGCCCUUUUGUUGGGAAAGAAAAGCAGCAGGUUAAUACCCCGCUGUUCUGACGGUACCCAAAGAAUAAGCACCGGCUAACUUCGUG
rnacentral:rRNA from 1 species